rnacentral:rRNA from 1 species
AAGAGAUCGGGAUAACACCUGGAAACAGAUGCUAAUACCGGAUAACAACAGAUGAUGCCUAUCAACUGUUUAAAAGAUGGUUCUGCUAUCACUCUUGGAUGGACCUGCGGUGCAUUAGCUAGUUGGUAGGGUAACGGCCUACCAAGGCGAUGAUGCACAGCCGAGUUGAGAGACUGAUCGGCCACAUUGGGACUGAGACACGGCCCAAACUCCUACGGGAGGCAGCAGCG